rnacentral:lncRNA from 1 species
UGAAGGUUGCGGAUUACGGUAUAAAGGUUAGUAGGUAAUUGAAUUUUGUCGUUUUUUUCCCUCUCAAAGGAUUAGGUUUGGUGGUAGUUUGGUAGCAUAGAGUCUGUUGUAGUAUUGUUUUGAUAUUUGCUACCAUAAUUGAUGUCUAUUAUGUUUUAGUUGUCGCAUUAUUUCGCCGUUGUUAUUGUUCUGUACUCAGUGUCGUAGUAUUGUUUUGAUAUCUGCUACCAUUAUUGAUGUCUAUUAUGUUUUAGCUGCCACAUUAUUUCAACGUUGUUACUACUAUGUAUUGUACUGUACAAUACUGUACUGCUUUCCUUGUCAUUUGACAUGUUUUUUUUUCCUGCCGUACUUUUCUUUCCAUCACUAUUUUGAUUUACUACACUAAAGCCAAAUAUUUUGAAAAUAGUAUUUCUACCUCGUAAGUCAUUCCUCGUACCUUGUACCUUUAGGAGGUAAAAAUACCGCAUGUGUAUAAUUUAUUCUCUCGAGAUUUACACGUUAGAUUGCCUGAAUAAGUUAUUGUAGUAGGUGGAUGUUUGGUUCUUCGGUUCGAUUUUAUCAAACUUCAAUUCAAUUCUCCAAUUUUAAAAUCAAACUAAUUCGAUUCAAUAUGAUUUUUCAAUUUUUUGAUAAUUAUGUCCACCCCUAAUUGUAGGCGGCUUGUUGUGGCCCAAUGGUGGAACCCACGAGAAUUUUGCUUGUUUGGAAGUGGAGGAGCCCAUGGGCUUUAAUUUAACGGUGAGUUGUAAGAGUGUUUGACAAUUCAAGAGGUGCCCAUGUAUACUAGAAAUUGACAUUAGCACUUGUGUGAUUAACUAUUUUUUGUCUAUGUUUGGUGGCUAGAUGGUAAAUUUAGUGGACAACUCUAUAUGCAUUAUAGCUAAUUAGUGCAAAUAGAAUCAUUUAACAUUGUUGUUUAACUUUUCACAAGUUAUGCCGAUGAGGCAUGACUUUUAUACAAUAUUCAUUUUAUC